GAUGAACGCUGGCGGCGUGCCUAAUACAUGCAAGUCGAGCGAACGGACGAGAAGCUUGCUUCUCUGAUGUUAGCGGCGGACGGGUGAGUAACACGUGGAUAACCUACCUAUAAGACUGGGAUAACUUCGGGAAACCGGAGCUAAUACCGGAUAAUAUUUUGAACCGCAUGGUUCAAAAGUGAAAGACGGUCUUGCUGUCACUUAUAGAUGGAUCCGCGCUGCAUUAGCUAGUUGGUAAGGUAACGGCUUACCAAGGCAACGAUGCAUAGCCGACCUGAGAGGGUGAUCGGCCACACUGGAACUGAGACACGGUCCAGACUCCUACGGGAGGCAGCAGGAGGGAAUCUGCCGCAAUGGGCGAAAGCCUGACGGAGCAACGCCGCGUGAGUGAUGAAGGUCUUCGGAUCGUAAAACUCUGUUAUUAGGGAAGAACAUAUGUGUAAGUAACUGUGCACAUCUUGACGGUACCUAAUCAGAAAGCCACGGCUAACUACGU
rnacentral:rRNA from 1 species